UCCACUGGACUGUGUGCAUUUACUUGUAACUUUAUAAACAAAGCAUUUGACUUGGUGAAUUCGAAGGAAUUUCUGAUAGAGUUUCAAAAAACAAGUCCAGUAACGAAUUACAAUAUGACAGUUUUAGCAGAUGGUUCUGUGUUUUUCACGGAGUGCUUUGAAAGAUCUGGAGAAUUCUAUGUUUUACGUCGAUUGAUAGGAACAGACAAUUUCUUCUCUUGUGUCAAGAAUACUUUCCACGACAAAAGGAACAAUUUUGUCGUAUAUUACCGCACGCCAUUUACCUACUACCCUCAUACUCCUUCGCUUUGUGAUGUUUGUAAUGGAACUAAUCUUUUCAACGAGAACCUUAACG